AGCUUGUAGUUUUAUUGCAAGUAAUUUCUGCCCAGCGUAACUUAUUAGCGGCCGCAGUACCUUGACUGUGCUAAGGUAGCAUAAUCAAUUGGCUUUUAAUUGUAGUCUGGAAUGAACGGGAUAAUAGGAGAGAACUGUCUCUAUUAAAUUUAUUGAAUUUAUUUAUUAAGUGAAAAUACUUAUAAAUUGAUAAAAGACGAGAAGACCCUAAGAAUUUUUAUAAAUGAUUAUUUUAAUCAUGUUUUUGUUGGGGCGACAAUAAAUCAGUAAACAUUUAUUUAUAUACAUAACAAUUUGGUUAUAUAGAAGAAAUUACCUUAGGGAUAACAGCAUAAUUUUUUAUAAAGUUUGUGACCUCGAUGUUGGACUAGGAACUAGAUGACUAACCGUCAAUAUAGAUUGUUCUGUUCGAACAAAUAUC
rnacentral:rRNA from 1 species